rnacentral:rRNA from 1 species
GAUGAACGCUGGCGGCGUGCCUAAUACAUGCAAGUCGAGCGAACAGACGAGGAGCUUGCUCCUUUGACGUUAGCGGCGGACGGGUGAGUAACACGUAGGUAACCUACCUAUAAGACUGGGAUAACUUCGGGAAACCGGAGCUAAUACCGGAUAAUAUUUCGAACCGCAUGGUUCGAUAGUGAAAGAUGGCUUUUCUAUCACUUAUAGAUUGACCUGCGCCGUAUUAGCUAGUUGGUAAGGUAACGGCUUACCAAGGCAACGAUACGUAGCCGACCUGAGAGGGAGAACGGCCACACUGGAACUGAGACACGGCCGAGACUCCUACGGGAGGCAGCAGUAGGGAAUCUUCCGCGAUGGGCGAAAGCCGGACGGAGCAACGCCGCGUGAGUGAUGAAGGUCUUCGGAUCGUAGAACUCUGUUAUUAGGGAAGAACAAACGUGUAAGUAACUGUGCACGUCUUGACGGUACCUAAUCAGAAAGCCACGGCUAACUACGUG